rnacentral:rRNA from 1 species
UACGUAGGGUGCGAGCGUUAAUCGGAAUUACUGGGCGUAAAGCGUGCGCAGGCGGUUCGCUAAGACCGAUGUGAAAUCCCCGGGCUUAACCUGGGAACUGCAUUGGUGACUGGCGGGCUAGAGUAUGGCAGAGGGGGGUAGAAUUCCACGUGUAGCAGUGAAAUGCGUUGAGAUGUGGAGGAAUACCGAUGGCGAAGGCAGCCCCCUGGGCCAAUACUGACGCUCAUGCACGAAAGCGUGGGGAGCAAACAGG